UACGAAGGGGGCUAGCGUUGCUCGGAAUCACUGGGCGUAAAGCGCACGUAGGCGGAUUCCUAAGUCGGUGGUGAAAUCCUGGAGCUCAACUCCAGAACUGCCUUUGAUACUGAAGAUCUUGAGUUCGGGAGAGGUGAGUGGAACUGCGAGUGUAGAGGUGAAAUUCGUAGAUAUUCGCAAGAACACCAGUGGCGAAGGCGGACUCACCUGGCC
rnacentral:rRNA from 1 species